rnacentral:rRNA from 1 species
UACGAAGGGGGCUAGCGUUGCUCGGAAUCACUGGGCGUAAAGGGUGCGUAGGCGGAUCUUUAAGUCAGGGGUGAAAUCCUGGGGCUCAACCCCAGAACUGCCUUUGAUACUGGCGAUCUCGAGUCCGGAAGAGGUGAGUGGAACUCCUAGUGUAGAGGUGGAAUUCGUAGAUAUUAGGAAGAACACCAGUGGCGAAGGCGGCUCACUGGUCCGGUACUGACGCUGAGGUGCGAAAGCGUGGGGAGCAAACAGG